UGCCACUUGUAUUAAAUAAGUGGUUCAUCCUGCCCAGUGAAUUUUCAACGGCCGCGGUAUCCUGACCGUGCAAAGGUAGCAUAAUCAUUUGCCUAUUAAUUGUAGGCUAGAAUGAAAGGAUAAACGAGAAUAAAGCUGUCUCCUUUAAGUAAAUAAAACUUUAUAUCCGAGUGAAGAAGCUCAGAUACAGCUGCAGGACAAGAAGACCCUAUAGAGCUUUACCCUACAUAUUAAUCACAUUAAUAUUACGGUUCGGUUGGGGCGACCAGGGGAUAUUUAUCACCCCAGAUCUAUAAGAUAUACCAAUCUAUAUAAUGAUCCUUACUUCAAGAUCAUCGAAUCAAGCUACCUUAGGGAUAACAGGCUAAUCCUCUUUUAGAGCCCUUAUCGACAAGAGGGAUUGGCACCUCGAUGUUGGCUUAGGAUCUCACUAUGACGCAGCAGUCAUAGCUAGAUGGUUUGUUCAACCAUUAAAUUCCU
rnacentral:rRNA from 1 species